GAUGAACGCUGGCGGCGUGCCUAAUACAUGCAAGUCGAGCGAACGGACGAGAAGCUUGCUUCUCUGAUGUUAGCGGCGGACGGGUGAGUAACACGUGGAUAACCUACCUAUAAGACUGGGAUAACUUCGGGAAACCGGAGCUAAUACCGGAUAAUAUUUUGAACCGCAUGGUUCAAAAGUGAAAGACGGUCUUGCUGUCACUUAUAGAUGGAUCCGCGCUGCAUUAGCUAGUUGGUAAGGUAACGGCUUACCAAGGCAACGAUGCAUAGCCGACCUGAGAGGGUGAUCGGCCACACUAGAACUGAGACACGGUCCAGACUCCUACGGGAGGCAGCAGUAGGGAAUCUUACGCAAUGGGCGAAAGCCUGACGGAGCAACGCCGCGUGAGUGAUGAAGGUCUUCGGAUCGUAAAACUCUGUUAUUAGGGAAGAACAUAUGUGUAAGUAACUGUGCACAUCUUGACGGUACCUAAUCAGAAAGCCACGGCUAACUACGUG
rnacentral:rRNA from 1 species